AACGUAGGACACAAGCGUUAUCCGGAGUUACUGGGCGUAAAGGGCGUUUAGGCGGGUGAGUAAGUUCGCUAUGAAAGCGCCAGGCUAAACCUGGCGAGGCUGGCGGAUACUGGUCAUCUGGAGUGAGGCAGAGGAAGGUAGAAUUCCGCGUGUAGUGGUGAAAUGCGUAGAGAUGCGGAGGAAUACCAGUGGCGAAGGCGGCCUUCUGGGCCUCAACUGACGCUGAAGCGCGAAAGCAUGGGGAGCGAACGGG
rnacentral:rRNA from 1 species